rnacentral:lncRNA from 1 species
AAACCAUACUAUACGGGCAGAGACAUAAUAUAUACACAUAUAUGUCUCUGAUACGGGUCACAAGUUUACCUGUUUUUGAAAGCUGUACGAUGACAUGAAGUUGUUUACAUCGCUAUCAUUUGUUUACAGUUAAUCAUUGCGUCAUUGGCAAAACAUUUUCAAAAAUAAAUAUCCACGACAUCAUUUAAUUCAACUGGUAUUUAAGUGAAUUCAAAAUAUGGUACGAACGGACCGAAGAGGCGACCUUAUCGGACCACAGAUGAAUUAUCACGUUGUGAUUGGUUAAACGCCGUCACGUGGUGACCCCCUAUGAGACCGUAUGGGGUUAGUAAGUUUCAUAUGGGGUUCAUGACGCGUUAAUGGCGACGUCAUCCAUUAAUGUUGUUGUUUAUUUUUCAACAAAAUGCCGCAGAAAAGGUCCAGCG